AUGGCAAGCAUCGCGGCGGUCUUGCUCGUCCUGCUUCCGCUGCUCCUUUCCGCGGCCGUCGCCGGCGCGACGCAUCCCGACGGCGGCUUCGGCUUCCAGGCAACGCUCACGCACGUCGACGCCGGCGCGGGGUACACGGACGCGCAGCUGCUCUCCCGCGCGGUGCGCCGGAGCAGGUCCCGCGCCGGCGCGCUGCAGUCGCUGGCGACGGCCGCGGACGCGCUCACCGCGGCGCGCAUCCUGGUGCAGGCCAGCCAGGGCGAGUACCUGAUGAGCAUGGCCAUCGGCACGCCGCCGCGGUACUACUCCGCCAUCCUCGACACCGGCAGCGACCUCAUCUGGACGCAGUGCGCGCCGUGCAUGCUCUGCGUCGACCAACCCACGCCCUACUUCGACCCGGCGCGCUCCAGCUCGUACGCCAAGCUCUCCUGCUCGUCCCCGAUGUGCAACGCCCUCUACUACCCGCUCUGCUACCAGAACACGUGCGUCUACCAGUACUUCUACGGCGACAGCGCCAACACCGCCGGGGUGCUCGCCAACGAGACCUUCACGUUCGGCACCAACGGGACGUGGGUCACCGUGCCGAGGAUCGCCUUCGGGUGCGGCAACCUCAACGCCGGGUCGCUCUUCAACGGCUCCGGCAUGGUCGGCUUCGGGCGGGGGCCGCUGUCCCUGGUGAGCCAGCUCGGGGCGCCAAGGUUCUCCUACUGCCUCACCUCGUUCAUGUCGCCGGUGCCGAGCCGGCUCUACUUCGGCGCCUACGCCACGCUCAACAGCACCAGCACCAGCGACAGCGGGCCGGUGCAGUCCACGCCGUUCAUCAUCAACCCGGCGCUGCCGACCAUGUACUACCUGAACAUGACGGGCAUCAGCGUCGGCGGCGACCUGCUGCCCGUCGAGCCGUGGGUGUUCGCCAUCAACGAGGAGGACGGCACCGGCGGGGUCAUCAUCGACUCCGGUUCCACGAUCACGUACCUGGCGCAGCCGGCGUACGACAUGGUGCACGAGGCGUUCGUGGCGCAGGUCGGGCUGCCCCUGGCGAACGUCACGUCGCCAGACGACCUGAACACGUGCUUCAAGUGGCCGCCGCCGCCGAAGAGGAUGGUGUCGAUGCCGGAGCUCGUGCUCCACUUCGAAGGGGCGGACAUGGAUCUGCCGCUGGAGAACUACAUGCUGAUCGACGGCGGCACGGGGAACCUGUGCCUGGCGAUGGCGCCGUCCGACGACGGCUCCAUCAUCGGCAGCUUCCAGCACGCCAACUUCCACGUGCUCUACGACAACGAGAACAGCUUGCUGUCCUUCAUCCCUGCCCCGUGCAACCUAAUGAGUCUGCUCACGUAG
rnacentral:rRNA from 1 species